rnacentral:rRNA from 1 species
UACGAAGGGGGCUAGCGUUGCUCGGAAUCACUGGGCGUAAAGCGCACGUAGGCGGAUUGUUAAGUCAGGGGUGAAAUCCUGGAGCUCAACUCCAGAACUGCCUUUGAUACUGGCGAUCUUGAGUCCAGGAGAGGUGAGUGGAACUGCGAGUGUAGAGGUGAAAUUCGUAGAUAUUCGCAAGAACACCAGUGGCGAAGGCGGCUCACUGGCCUGGUACUGACGCUGAGGUGCGAAAGCGUGGGGAGCAAACAGG